UAGUCCACGCCGUAAACGAUGGAUACUAGCUGUCCGAGGCCUUGAGUCUUGGGCGGCCAAGCGAAAGUGAUAAGUAUCCCACCUGGGGAGUACGUUCGCAAGAAUGAAACUCAAAGGAAUUGACGGGGGCCCGCACAAGCGGUGGAGCAUGUGGUUUAAUUCGAUGAUACGCGAGGAACCUUACCAGGGCUUAAAUGCAUAUUGACAGGUCUAGAGAUAGAUUUUCCUUCGGGCAAUUUGCAAGGUGCUGCAUGGUUGUCGUCAGCUCGUGCCGUGAGGUGUCAGGUUAAGUCCUAUAACGAGCGCAACCCCUACCGUUAGUUGCCAGCAUGUCAUGAUGGGGACUCUAACGGGACCGCUAGGCUAUAAGCCAGAGGAAGGUGGGGAUGACGUCAAGUCCUCAUGGCCCUUAUAUCCAGGGCUACACACGUGCUACAAUGGGAGAGACAAAGCGCAGCUAACUCGCGAGAGUAUGCUAAUCGCAAAAACUUUCCUCAGUUC
rnacentral:rRNA from 1 species